rnacentral:rRNA from 1 species
GGAGUCUGGGCCGUGUCUCAGUCCCAAUGUGGCCGUUCAACCUCUCAGUCCGGCUACUGAUCGUCGACUUGGUGAGCCGUUACCUCACCAACUAUCUAAUCAGACGCGAGCUCAUCUUUCAGCGAUAAAUCUUUGAUAACAAAAUCAUGCGGUUCUGUUAUGUUAUGCGGUAUUAUCAGUCGUUUCCAACUGCUAUCCCCCUCUGAAAGGCAGAUUGCUCACGUGUUACUCACCCGUCCGCCACUAAGUUUUAAAAAGCAAGCUCUCUAAAACUCCGUUCGACUUGCAUGUGUUAAGCGUGCCGCCAGCGUCUCUCGUGCACUGAUCAAACUACU